CCCCCUGUGAGAAUGCCCUACCCCUUUCCCCUCAGUAAGGAAGGAGCAGGUAUCAGGCACAAAUUGCUCUUAGCCCAUGACACCUCGCCCAGCCACACCUCCAAAGGAACCCAGCAGUAAUAGACAUUAAGCAAUAAGUGUAAACUUGACUUAGUUAAUAUCAAGAGGGCCGGUUAAACUCGUGCCAGCCGCCGCGGUUAUACGAGAGGCCCAAGUUGACAGCCCACCGGCGUAAAGAGUGGUUAAUAGUUUCUUGACUAAAGCCGAACACCUCCAAGGCUGUUAUACGCACCCGAAGGCAGGAAGCUCUCCCACGAAAGUGACUUUAAAACACUAUGACCCCACGAACGCUAGGACACAAACUGGGAUUAGAUACCCCACUAUGCCUAGCCCUAAACACAAAUAUGACUUUACCCCCAUAUUCGCCAGGGAACAACGAGCCCCAGCUUAAAACCCAAAGGACUUGGCGGUGCUUUAGUCCCCCUAGAGGAGCCUGUUCUAGAACCGAUACUCCCCGUUCAACCUCACCCUCCCUUGUUUUCCCCGCCUAUAUACCGCCGUCGUCAGCUUACCCUGUGAAGGCUUAAUAGUAAGCAAAAUUGGCAAAGCCCAGAACGCCAGGUCGAGGUGUAGCGCACGAGAGGGGAAGAAAUGGGCUACAUUUACUGAACCAGUAAACACGGAUGAUAAAAUGAAACCAUAUCUGAAGGAGGAUUUAGCAGUAAGAGGAGAAUAGAGUGCCCCUCUGAAACCGGCCCUGAAGCGCGCACACACCGCCCGUCACUCUCCCCAAGCCAAACCCA
rnacentral:rRNA from 1 species